AUGCUGAGUUGCUGUUAUCUUGUUGCAAUAUCAUUUCUUAUUGUUCCACAUCCGUUAGAACUUUUUGUAGUUGCCAGGGGAAGGAUCCGAGUCGAAGCUGACAGUGUUCAAAGGGUAUUUGAUCUUCCUAACAGGGGUCUAAAAGUCUGUUACAAAGUUUACAAGGAUACAACUAGGAGAUUCAGCGAGACCUUCAACAUAACUGGAACUUCUCAUCCCCAGAUCAGUACAUGGACCACGAUGAUUAAGGAUAUGGGCGGAAGAACGGAUGACACAUUCUUUAUGGCCUGGCUUGCGGUUGCCUUUAGCACUUUCUUAGCACCAACCACGGCCUUGAAGCUCAGCCCAAAGUGCUACGGACUUGUGCUAGAUCAUGAAAACCUCAAGAACACAAACAUCUGCCUUUUUUAG
rnacentral:rRNA from 1 species